GGGCCUAGGCCAACGCCCCAGGCCUGCCCUGCAGGGACCCCGGGCCUCCCCUCCCCUGGAGGAGCCCAGGAGCCUCUCCAGGUCGCCCCGCGACGGGCGCCCGCGCAUCCGCGGCUCUGGCGGCAGAGGGCACCCCUGCCCCGCCCGUGGAUCGGAGGCUCCCGCGUGGGUAAAGGGUGGGGGGGACGGGAGCGAGCAGGGCUGCAGGGGGAAGCCGACGGCCUGGUCCAUCUUUGGCUCCCGGGGGGGCUCUUCUUGGAUCCGCAAGAGCAGGAGCGAAGGGGCCAGCUGCGGGGGGCGGUGGGGCGCAGGGGGGCGGGGGGGCGGGGGUUCAGGGGGGCGGGGGGCCGGGGGAGAGGGGUAGUUCCCGAGCCUGGGCCACACGGGGGCGGCUGGGAGCAAAGGGGCCCGACGGGGACAGGCGGCCGGGCCCUGUUUGUUUACCUGGCUUCUGAGACUGGGCCUCCUUCCCCGCGGCCCAGGGGCGCCCGCCAGGUGCGCCCCGCCCACCACCUGGUCCCGACCGCGGCUGCCUGUGGGUGCGGCACCUGCCCCUGCCCCUGCCCGGUGGGUGCGACACUUGCCGCCGCGCCCCGCGGAUGUGGCCUCUCCGUGCUCCCCCGGGGGCGGCACCUCUGCAUGCUCCCUGCAGGUGCAGCACCUGUCCGUGCUCCCCCGGGGGCGGCACCUCUCCGUGCCCCCCGCAGGUGCAGCACCUCUCCAGGCUCCCCGCAGGUGCAGCACCUCUCCGUGCUCCCCCGGGGGCGGCACCUCUCCGUGUCCCCCGCAGGUGCAGCACCUCUCCGUGCCUCCCGCAGGUGCAGCACCUCUCCGUGCCCCCCGCAGGUGCAGCACCUCUCCGUGCUCCCCCGGGGGCGGCACCUCUGCAUGCUCCCCGCAGGUGCAGCACCUCUCCAGGCUCCCCGCGGGGCGGCACCUCUGCCUGCUCCCCCGGGCGCGGCACCUGCCCCAGCCCCCAGAGGGUAUGACACCUGCCCCGGCUCACUGCGGGUGCGUCACCUGUCGGGUGGGACUGACGCUCCCACCGGGUCCACAGGGAGAGAGGAACAGGGGUUUGGCCGCCUCCCCGGGCUUGCGCAGCCUUCCUGA
rnacentral:lncRNA from 1 species